rnacentral:lncRNA from 10 species
UUUUUCUUUCUCAGUGUGGUUUAUUUCAUGUGAUAUUUAUUUUUUGAUAUCUAGGAAGAUUAAUAUCUUUGUUGCAGUGCUUACCUUUUUGCCACUACCUAUUAUAAUGCCCUUAGUCUCUUUUCUCACAUUUACUCUGCUACUUAGUGUUUUAUUUGCUUCAAAUUAUAUUCUUCAUUCCCACCUAUUGUCUAUGCAACAAUAGGUCACUUCAGUUUUGUCACCACAUAUAACAGUUGAACUGUUCUUCCCCCCAUGACUCUGUCCUUGUUUAAGUUACAGAUUUACAUUGAAAUAUAUUCAAUGCUCACACAGUCCAUUU